GGUGCAAGAAGCAGAGAAGUACAAGGCAGAGGAUGAGGAAGUGAAGAAGAAGGUGGAAGCCAAGAACAAGCUAGAGAAUUACGCUUAUAAUAUGAGAAAUACGGUGAAGGAUGAGAAAAUUGCAGGUAAACUGAAUCCAGCAGACAAGCAGAAGAUUGAGAAGGCCAUUGAUGAGACAAUUGAAUGGCUUGACGGGAACCAACUGGCAGAGGUGGAUGAAUUUGAAGACAAAUUGAAGGAAUUAGAGGGCUUGUGCAAUCCAAUUAUUUCAAAGAUGUAUCAAGGUGGUGGUGGUGAAGAUGUGCCAAUGGGCGGCGGUGCUCAGCCCGGAAGUGGGUAUGGCCCUUCUAGCUCUGGUGGUUCUGGAGCAGGGCCAAAGAUUGAAGAGGUGGAUUGAGGCUUGAAAAAAAUGGGGUUUGUUCUGUUCUCUGUUCUCUGUUCUGUUUCAGCUUGUGGUUAAGCAAAUUCCAAAUAAUGCUUGUAGUUCUGUAACCAUAAUAAUAGUAAUGCUUGUAGUUUAGGUAUGUUGAUGAUAGAGAUUACGAUGUUUGUGAUGUAUGUUUUACUGUUUAAUGAAAUAAAAGGAGU
rnacentral:misc_RNA from 1 species